rnacentral:pre_miRNA from 1 species
UCUUCAUUUCUCGUGCUCUCUCACUGGUCAGAAUGGCGAAAGAGUGUGUGAAAUGAAGAGU